GACGGAGGGUGCAAGCGUUGUUCGGAUUGACUGGGCGUAAAGGGCGUGUAGGCGGUCGGCCAAGUCUGACGUGAAAGCCCGAGGCUCAGCCUCGGAAGUGCGUCGGAAACUAGUCGGCUGGAGCGCGAUAGAGGAGGGUGGAAUUCCUGGUGUAGCGGUGAAAUGCGUAGAUAUCGGGAGGAACACCGGCGGCGAAGGCGGCCCUCUGGAUCGUUGCUGACGCUGAGACGCGAAAGCGUGGGGAGCAAACAGG
rnacentral:rRNA from 1 species